GGGGGAUUAGUGGCGAACGGGUGAGUAACACGUGAGUAACCUGCCCUUGACUCUGGGAUAAGCCUGGGAAACUGGGUCUAAUACCGGAUAUGACUGUCUGACGCAUGUCAGGUGGUGGAAAGCUUUUGUGGUUUUGGAUGGACUCGCGGCCUAUCAGCUUGUUGGUGGGGUAAUGGCCUACCAAGGCGACGACGGGUAGCCGGCCUGAGAGGGUGACCGGCCACACUGGGACUGAGACACGGCCCAGACUCCUACGGGAGGCAGCAGUGGGGAAUAUUGCACAAUGGGCGCAAGCCUGAUGCAGCGACGCCGCGUGAGGGAUGACGGCCUUCGGGUUGUAAACCUCUUUCAGUAGGGAAGAAGCGAAAGUGACGGUACCUGCAGAAGAAGCGCCGGCUAACUACGUGCCAGCAGCCGCGGUAAUACGUAGGGCGCAAGCGUUAUCCGGAAUUAUUGGGCGUAAAGAGCUCGUAGGCGGUUUGUCGCGUCUGCUGUGAAAGACCGGGGCUCAACUCCGGUUCUGCAGUGGGUACGGGCAGACUAGAGUGCAGUAGGGGAGACUGGAAUUCCUGGUGUAGCGGUGAAAUGCGCAGAUAUCAGGAGGAACACCGAUGGCGAAGGCAGGUCUCUGGGCUGUAACUGACGCUGAGGAGCGAAAGCAUGGGGAGCGAACAGGAUUAGAUACCCUGGUAGUCCAUGCCGUAAACGUUGGGCACUAGGUGUUGGGGGACAUUCCACGUUUUCCGCGCCGUAGCUAACGCAUUAAGUGCCCCGCCUGGGGAGUACGGCCGCAAGGCUAAAACUCAAAGGAAUUGACGGGGGCCCGCACAAGCGGCGGAGCAUGCGGAUUAAUUCGAUGCAACGCGAAGAACCUUACCAAGGCUUGACAUGAACCGGUAAUACCUGGAAACAGGUGCCCCGCUUGCGGUCGGUUUACAGGUGGUGCAUGGUUGUCGUCAGCUCGUGUCGUGAGAUGUUGGGUUAAGUCCCGCAACGAGCGCAACCC
rnacentral:rRNA from 2 species